rnacentral:lncRNA from 1 species
GGACAUCAGGUGGGCAUUAUUUUUACUAUACGUAUAUAGAGAUCCCCUGCGUAUCGUAGGCCUCUUAUACGAAAUGAAGUAAAUGAUGUGAUUUAACUGUAAAUUUCAGUUUGAUGAAAAUUAUUACUGAUGAUGAUGUUUAUGAGUUUGAUAAAUAAUUUGAGAUUUAUUGAUGUUGAACUAAUUGACUUGCCGAGUUUUGAUGACGACGAGCCUGUAUGUCACCCUCUACUGAUGAGACGAAUUCGGAUCCUGCCACAAGCGGGAUUGUGUACACAGAGGUGAUCGUGAGCUGUCCUUUGGGUCGGCCGGUCACGGUACUUGAGAAGGAGGCCUACUUCUCAGUACCUUUAUGAUGAUGAUUUGUAGAUGUGGUACAUACAUAACGAGAAUUUUGACCGGUCAUUUAUUUAUGAUGUUUAUGAUUGUUAACUGCUUACACGGGUUCUUUUGAGUAAAAUCCCCGUGUAUUGCUUAUGUGGCAAGUUCAAUCUAUAGCUCUAAGAGCUAGUUUUCAUUGAUUUUCGGCUUAUGUCCACUGAGUAUUCUGUACUCAGCCCUGCAUGUAUUUCUAAACGUGCAGGAUAAGCGAGGAGGGAGAUUGGACUGGUGCUGGCAGGGAUUUUGUUUCAGAUAAUCUUCAUUAUACCGUAAUUAUAUUCCUUGCGGUAACAUCAAGAUGUUGAAGUUUAUUUUGAACUUAAUCAAGAAAUUUACUCUCGGCUAUAUGUCUUCAUACAUAUAGUCUUUUCGUAUUUUGCUGCGAUACUCUGUAUAUCCCGAGUCAUUGUGAGUAAUUAGCUAUGUCUACUUUGUAAAGGUUGACAAGAAUCUCAAUAAUUUAAAAGUUAUAAAGCCAAUAAUAUUUUUAUUGAUGAUGAUGUCAUCUUUCUUGAUUUAUCACGUUUCAGUGAUUGCUUCCGCUUGACGUGCAAUCUAGUUUUGUCUUUUGACCUUAUUAAUAUAUUUAGUCGUAUCGAUACCCGGUUUACGCUAUCACUGGCUAGGCGUCGGGCUGCGACAUAUUCUUAUUUUACUUUUAAUAUGUGUUUCUUGAUUGUGCAAAGAAUUUGAGUUUUAUUGCAACACGAUUGUAAGUAUGUAAAACGUGAUUUGUCCGGUAGAUGCUAGAAGGAGUGUUGUCAUUGUGAUUGCCUACGAUCGUAUCCUUAUCUGUGAAUAAUGCUGGACGAAUUGCCAUUUCUAAAAAUGUCAGCUCUGAAACAUAUGGCCAGCUCUGAAACGUGACAGCUCUGAGUCUCUGCUCCUCUGGUCUAACUAUGAGCAUGGGAAACCACGUGAAAAGACUUUGGAUUACAUCCAAAUGGUUUUUAUUUCAUGAAUUAUGGCUCAACUGUCCAAAAACUUAAGCACACAAAGUGUAAAAAAAAUGGUGAUAUUGAUUAUAAAGGCGAUCACAUUAGGGAAUUCACUUCUAGCGGAGAAUUGGGUAUGAUCGAAUUACUUGCAUUACUGUUUUGUUGCUUCGUAAACUUUAAGUUACUUGCAUGAUCAAGAGAUGUGUGUUGAUUGUAAAAUUUUGAAUUGACUUUGUGAAUGUUUGGAUGGAAAUAAGCAUCGUUGAAAUCAAUCUCUUCCUAAGAUUCAUAUUGAUUUUGCUUGAGGACAAGCUGAUUUAUGCUUAAUUGUUCUAAAUUUUGGGGUUUGCAUGUACUUUUUAAGUUAAAUCUUCUGAAAUGGUGCGUUUUAUGGUUAUUUUAUGCUUUUCGGAGAUUUAGUUUCGAGAUGAAAGUGCAAAUUUUGGAGAUUUGGGCUAAGAAUUACGUUUUUGUGCAUGCUCUGGCACGUCAGAGAAGUGAAGCCCCGCAUGCCAGAGCAGCGAAAAGGGAAGCCAGAGAAAUGCUCCAGAUCCAGAGAAGUCAUUCGCCAGAGCAGCGAAAUCACUAGUCAGAGAAGUCAUAAGCCAGGCCAGAGAAAUCAAUAUCCAGUGCAGCGAAAUCGAAAACGCCAGAGGAAUAUAAGCGCCAGCGGAAUCGCCAUCAGAGAAACCGGAGCCAGAGCGGAACCGUUCCUGGCGAGAGCCCGAUUUCCGCCAGGGUGGAGAUUAUUUCAGAGCGCGCGACACAGCUGGAAGUUGCCUUUCUUCACGAUUCUAUUGCCUUUAGAGUUCUACUUUGCAUGGCAACUUCCAUGGUGAUCCAUAGGGAUUCGAAGUCUAUAAAUAGGGCCAUACUUUUCAUUGUAAGAUCAUCGCUUGCCCUAGUUUUAGACGCCAUCUUUGCGAUCUGUUGGCAUCCGAAGCUUAGGAUUUACUUGCUUUCAUAGUUCUUUAUAGUUUUCAGAUUCAUUGUUUUAAGUUAGAUUUCAAUUCAGUUUUUAGUUUAUUCUUGGAUUGUGAUUGAGUGACACAAUUACAUGUUCAAGACGUUUACGGUAUUUCGUAUUUCAAUUCAAUUUAUUUCGUUUAAUCAUGUUUACGUUUUUCAUUCAAGUUCAUGCUUUCUUUUUAAUUAUGCAAUUUAAAUUAUGCACUUUAGUUUCACGCCUAGAUUAGAAGUCUUUAAAUUUACAAGUAUUUAAUUUCUUAAGUUAGGUUUAAUUUGAGUUGUUUAAAUUCUUGCCUAGGUUAAGUUUAAAUUCAAGUCAAGUUUAAUUUAAGUUUAAGUUUCAGUUUUUAAAUCAAAAUCUUUACUGCUUCCUUUUAUUGCUUUUUCCUACGAUACUACUAAGAGCCCUUAAAGACUUUCCUUGAGAGAUGACAUUGGGUCAACUUACCAUCACUAGGAUGUCCUUGUUCUAUUGCAAGUCAACUUAGAGGUGUUUCUAGUUGAGUCACAAGCAAAAGGCUAAGUGUGGGGGGUUGAUCAUGUGCAUAUUUAAGUUGAAUCUUCUGGAAAUUUGUGCGUUUUAUGGUUUGUUUUAUGCUUUGCAGGAGAUUUAGGUUUUAUAGAUGGAAGAGUGUAAUUUUGGAGAUUUUGGGUUUAGAAUGGCGUUUUUAAGAACACUCUGGUGUACAGAGCUGAAAAGCCCACGCCAGAGCUGAAAAGCCGCGCCAGAGCUGAAAAGCCCGCUGCAGAGCAGAGCAGAGAAGCUCGCCAGAGCAGAGCNUAGUUUUUAUUGAUUUUCGGCAUAUGUCCACUGAGUAUUCUGUACUCAGCCCUGCAUGUAUUUCUAAACGUGCAGGAUAAGCGAGGAGGGAGAUUGGACUGGUGCUGGCAGAGAUUUUGUUUCGGAUGAUCGUCAUUAUACCGUAAUUAUAUUCCUUGCGGUAACAUCAAGAUGUUGAGGUUUAUUUUGAACUUAAUCAAGAAAUUUACUCCCGGCUAUAUGUCUUCAUACAUAUAGUCUGUUCGCAUUUUGCUGCGAUACUCUGUAUAUCCCGAGUCAUUGUGAGUAAUUAGCUAUGUCUACUUUGUAAAGGUUGACAAGAAUCUCGAUGAUUUAAAAGUUAUAAAGCCAAUAAUAUUUUUAUUGAUGAUGAUGUCAUCUUUCUUGGUUUAUCACGUUUCAGUGAUUGCUUCCGCUUGACGUUCGAUCUAGUUUUCUCUUUUUACCUUAUUAAUUUAUUUAGUC